CCAAGUGUCUGUGACCGCAACAGCAUAGUUACUUGAUUUUUUUCAGAAAAGUUAUAUUUAAAGAUUCAUUAUUGCGAGAUUUUAUUACUAAAAAUAUGAACUAUUUCACAAGACUAGAUUUAGGUUAUUUUGAGAAAAUUGUUUAGAUGAACAAUUGAAUAUUUUGCAUACAGUCAUGUUAUAGACAAUGUAUUCCAAAAGUUUGUUACUCUUGUUGAACUCACAGAUUGGCCAAAACGGCAAUUUCAUAGGGAUGUAAUUUUCAUUGGUUUCUAACAUUAAGAUAAAUGGAAGUUUUUAUUUUUUCAUUGAGAUUAAAUUUAAUUGAUUCGCAAAAACCUAAAACUCUAUGAAAAGUUGCAAUCCACAAAAAAUAAGGGUGUUACAGUAUAUUGAAUGGGUUUAUGACAAAACAUUAACACGGCAUUUCAACUACACAGCCUUUCGUCUACAUUUAAGCGACACUACAAAAGAUCCACAAAACUAAACAGGAGAAAGACAUGGAAUGAUUAUAGACAAAAACUGACAAACACCGACAAUCUUUUUUGCAAAAGUUACCGAAAGCAUAAGAGAAGUAACUCUGAUUAAUAGUAUAUAGUCUUAAUAUAAGCUAUAAGCCACAUGUGGUAAUUGAUCUACAUCUACAUCUACGGAGAUACUCCCAACAAUCAAUCUCUGAUCAUAACUGGGAGGUCGGGGCAGUUGUUAAAAGUAUGUUGCUAUGUUACAUGAUACAUGAUAUUCAUGUUGUUAAAGGAGUGAGAGCAGUAAUAUAUACAGCUUGUUAAAAAUAAAAGCAGGAUGAUGACAUUAGUUCGUACAUAUACGAAUCUUGAUGUUUAACUCCUCACUCCUGAAAUGAAGCAAUAUUUCGACCAACUGUCUUUCGGUAUGUAGUCGGGUCGAUGUUUUGUUGCGUCGAUAUUCAGUCUUGUCGAUGAAAUGUUGUGUCGAUGUUUUGUCUGUUGAUAUUUUGCCAUGCUCCUUAUUGAAUUAUUCAUUUCAGAACUGUAUGGAGACCAGCACAGACAGUCACAUGCACUUUUCUAUCUCUGGAUUGUGUCUGCUGUAUGAGGUGCAGGUGAAAGAGGAAAUCGUUUAUGGUGUUAAAGCUUAUUAGUAUUUUGCGAUUGUUGAAGAUUUUAUUCUACGAUUUAUAUGGUCCCUGACGCUAUCAAUAGGCGAAGGUUUGUUGGUACAUAGUGAAAUACUUCGCACACUGCUGGUUUCUUUGGAAAUAUUCAGACGUUUUGUAUGGAACUUUUUCCGCUUGGAAAACGAGCAUUUGAACAACUGUGGUCAGUUCUGAGCUGUACGAGAUAUAUCUAUAGCUCCGAUAGACUCAAGCGAUCUCUCUCAGCUUAUCGAGAUGAUGGAUGAAGACGAUGGGGCGUUUACCCACAGAUCUGAGAAACGUAGACUUAUCGGAAUGUAGGUGCUCCGCGGGCAGCUUCUGUAGAACUGGUUCUUUGUUAACAAAUGAACAGUUGUGUGUGGUGUGCUUUCAAUUUCGUUUAGCACGGGUUUUCUGUAGUGGAUUAACAGUUUGGUGGUGUUGUACUUUGAUUUUGCUAGCUGAAGUGACAUUGCACUUUUGGUCUAUUUAUUAUUUCUUAUCAGAGGCUGGUGAAUGCACGAGCCUACAGCCAUCAAACUGCAUGGCACGAUUAGUUGAUGACCUCUGCUGAUUGGGGUCAGGAGGUCAGAGGUUAAUAUCAAAGUGACCUUGAGACUAAAAGUAAGAUCUAUAUUUAGAGAAGCUUGGCUCAUCAGACUCCAUUACAUGAUUUUCUGUGGUCAUCAGAUUAACCUAUAUUCUAUUGUUUUUUUGGUGAAUGGUAAAUACACUUCAGACUGAAAGAUGUACAUCAAGUUACUACAAUGGAUUAUCAUAGGGAGCAUUUCGUGAAAGUUGUUUUUAAAUUAAGUUUGCCCGAAAACUAUGAUCUUUCGUCCCUUAAUGCCUUAUUUAUUCAUUAGCACUGUAAUAACUUUAAGCAAAUUCAAAGUUUUAGUCAGCUGGCUUUUGAUUGCAGUUUAAUGUAUUUUAGUUAAAGUUUCAUAUGUAUAUUGCUUGUGGAUGUGUUCAGUUGUUAUUAAAAAUCCUAAUACUCAGCAAGACACGCUAUUUUCUUCAUAGGAGUAGAUUAUACUUUGG